UUACGGCCAUAUCACACUGAAACACCGGUUACCGUAAGAUCACUGAAGUUAAGCAACGUUUAGCCCGGUCAAUACCUAGAUGGGUGAGAGUCUGAGAAUACCGGGUGCUGUAAG